rnacentral:rRNA from 1 species
GUCCACGCCGUAAACGAUGAAUACUAGGUGUAGGGGCCAUUCUGGUUUCUGUGCCGCAGUUAACACAAUAAGUAUUCCACCUGGGGAGUACGGCCGCAAGGUUGAAACUCAAAAGGAAUUGACGGGAGCCCCGCACAAGCAGUGGAGUAUGUGGUUUAAUUCGAUGCAACGCGAAAAAACCUUACCCACCUUUGACAUGUACGGAAGUCGCUAGAGAUAGCUUCGUGCUCGAAAAGAGAGCCGUAAACACAGGUGCUGCAUGGCUGUCGU